rnacentral:rRNA from 1 species
AGUGAACGCUGGCGGUAGGCCUAACACAUGCAAGUCGAACGGCAGCACAGGAGAGCUUGCUCUCUGGGUGGCGAGUGGCGGACGGGUGAGGAAUACAUCGGAAUCUACUUUUUCGUGGGGGAUAACGUAGGGAAACUUACGCUAAUACCGCAUACGACCUACGGGUGAAAGCAGGGGACCUUCGGGCCUUGCGCGAUUGAAUGAGCCGAUGUCGGAUUAGCUAGUUGGCGGGGUAAAGGCCCACCAAGGCGACGAUCCGUAGCUUGUCUGAGAGGAGGACCAGCCACACUGGAACUGUGACACGGUCCAGACUCCUACGGGAGGCAGCAGUGGGGAAUAUUGGACAAUGGGCGCAAGCCUGAUCCAGCCAUACCGCGUGGGUGAAGAAGGCCUUCGGGUUGUAAAGCCCUUUUGUUGGGAAAGAAAUCCAGCCGGCUAAUACCUGGUUGGGAUGACGGUACCCAAAGAAUAAGCACCGGCUAACUUCGUGCCAGCCGCCGCCGUAA